rnacentral:rRNA from 1 species
ACUCCUACGGGAGGCAGCAGUGGGAAUAUUGCACAAUGGGCGCAAGCCUGAUGCAGCAACGCCGCGUGAGGGAUGACGGCCUUCGGGUUGUAAACCUCUUUUAGCAGGGAAGAAGCGAAAGUGACGGAUACCUGCAGAAAACGCGCCGGCUAACUACGUGCCAGCAGCCGCGGUAAUACGUAGGGCGCAAGCGUUAUCCGGAAUUAUUGGGCGUAAAGAGCUCGUAGGCGGUUUGUCGCGUCUGCUGUGAAAUCCCGAGGCUCAACCUCGGGUCUGCAGUGGGUACGGGCAGACUAGAGUGCGGUAGGGGAGAUUGGAA